rnacentral:pre_miRNA from 1 species
AUAACAUGAGGACCGUCGGUCUACCGAGCAAUUUCACCCGCUCGGUGGAAGAUCUUCUCUUUAUUGU